UACGGGGGGAGCAAGCGUUGUUCGGAUUUACUGGGCGUAAAGGGCGCGUAGGCGGCCACCGCAAGUCGACUGUGAAAUCUCCGGGCUUAACCCGGAAAGGUCAGCCGAUACUGCGGGGCUAGAGUGCAGAAGGGGCAACUGGAAUUCUCGGUGUAGCGGUGAAAUGCGUAGAUAUCGGGUGGAACACCAGUGGCGAAGGCGCUGCUCUGGGCCGGUACUGACGCUGAGGAGCGAAAGCGUGGGUAGCAAACAGG
rnacentral:rRNA from 1 species